GUCUUCAUUUUGUCAUAUGAUAAUUGGUUGUCGGAAGUUCUAAAACUAGCAAAGACCAAAAAUUGACUUCUUAAGAUCCCUGUUCUCCAAUCUCCUGCCAGAGAUCCUCAUCUUGCUGAUUUAGUUACAACUCCAAUUCCAUGCUCACCAGUUCAUCUGAUUUAGCCAUCUAAUCAGAAUUCCAAUUCCAAUUCCAUGCUGAUCUUCACGCACGAUAUUCCUACCGUUCCAUACGAAAUCAUGUUGAUCAAGCGCACACUCAGUACUUUUGUUAAGUAGAGUAUUUUUGGCCACGAAUAUGGCUGCUGCUUCUCUUGAUUCUUCCCCUCUCCCUUGUUUAAAAAAGAAUGACGUCUUUCUUAGUUUUAGAGGUGAAGAUACUUGUUAUAAUUUUACCAGCCAUCUUUAUGCUGCGCUACGCUGAAAGGAUAUCGAAACCUUUAUAGAUAACAGACUUGAGAGAGGGGAUGAAAUUUCGCCUGCACUUUUGAAAGAAAUUGAAGAAGCAAAGAUAUCGGCAAUCAUUUUCUCAAGAAACUAUGCCUCCUCUGCAUGGUGUUUGGACGAACUUGUGCACAUAAUCCUAUGCAAAGAAAGGAAUGGACGAGUUAUUUUUCCAGUCUUUUACCAUGUGGAUCCAUCCGAUGUACGGAAACAACGGGGCAGAUACAAAACUUCAUUUGCUAAAACUUAAACAACGUUUCAAGAAUCAAAUGGACAAGGUUCAUGAGUGGAAGGCCGCAUUGACAGCAGCUGCAAAUCUAUCUGGAUGGAGUUCACUAGACACAUGAAGGAUGAAUCAGAGUUGGUUGAGAAAAUUGUUGAAGGUAUUACAAGGAAAUUGAGUCUUCUUUCCUCAAAUAUUGGUGAUGAUCUCAAUUCUUUGGUUGGUAUUCAUAAACGUGCUGAGAAACUUAUAUCUUAACUAGAUAUUGGCUCUCCUAAUGUUCGCACUGUUGUGCUUUGGGAAAUUGGUGGUAUAAGAAAGACUACUCUUGCACAUGUUGUAAUCAGCCAAAUCUCAUCUCAAUUUCAGGGUUGCUGUUUUCUUGCAAAUGUUAGAGAAGAAUGGGACAAAGGAUGAAAGAAAUAUGAUUUACAAAAUAAACUUCUUUGCAAACUAAUGGGAGAUGAAAAUUCACGUACAGGCAUGACCCUGUUCGAAAAGUUGAAUUUUUACAAGGGAAGAGUGCACAAGAAAAGGGUUCUUAUUGUUCUAGAUGACGUGAACGAUUCGAAGCAAUUAGAAAUUUUAGAUCACCAUUGCUUUGGCCACGGAAAUAGAAUUAUUGUGACAACAAGAGAUAAACAAGUCGUGUUUAAUGACGGAGCUGAUCAUGCGAUAUAUGAAGUUGAGGGAUUGAACGUUGAUGAAGCCCUGGAGCUUUUUCGUUCGAGCACUUUGAAAGGAACCAAGAAAUAGUACUACCUCUGGAAGAGAUUAUCAGGAAGAAAAAUUAGAAAGGGCACUCGUAAAUUAUGCCGAUGGAAUCCCAUUGGCUCUUAAUGUGUGGGGCUCCUUUCUUCGAAAUAUGAGGAAAGAGGACUUGGAAAGUGAACUCAACAGACUCUAACAACUUCCCAAGACCGAAGUUCAUGAUGUGUUGAGGAGAAGUUACGAUGGACACAAGAAGGAUGUAUUUCUUCAUAUAGCAUGUUUUUUUAAAGGGAUGCACAGAGAGUGUGUUGAAGAAAUUUUGAAUGCUUGGUGGUAGUUCCUACACAAACAAGAAUAGAUAGUCUAGUUGAUAAGUCUCUCGUAAUUGUGAGACCCAACAACAUACUUUCGAUGCAGGAUUUGAUCGAAGAAAUGGGCCAAUUGAGCGUCUCUCUUCUUGCAAAAAGCUUGGGGGAGUCUCCGCCAACAUGUGUAAGUUGAAGUCUGUAAGAAGUCUCUCUCUCUCUGGUUGCUCGAAGUUCAAACGCUUCCCAAAAAUCAAGGAGCCUAUGGACAGUCUGACCGUCCUUGAAUUGGAUGGAACCACAAUUAAAGAGCUACAAAAUUCGUUUAGAAAUCUGACUGCGCAUCGGCACUUGAACCUGUGAAUGUGUGAAAACCUUGAGAAGAGCACGUAUGAUAUGAUCAGCAAAU